rnacentral:rRNA from 1 species
GUGCCAGCCGCCGCGGUAAUACCGGCAGCUCAAGUGAUGUCCCAUAUUAUUGGGCCUAAAGCGUCCGUAGCUGGCCGACCAAGUCUCCCGGGAAAUCCACCCGCCCAACGGGUGGGCGUCCGGUAGAAACUGGCCGGCCUGGAACCGGAAGGCUCAGAGAGUACGUCCGGGGUAGGAGUGAAAUCCCGUAAUCCCGGACGGACUACCGAUGGCGAAAGCACUCUGAGAAGACGGCUUCGACAGUGAGGGACGAAAGCUCGGGUCUCAAACCGGAUUAGAAACCCCAGUAGUCC